GGGUUAGUAGGUUGGUCGUGCCUCUGGUAUGUACUGGCCUUACUGAUUCCUCCCUCUUGACGAACUGUGAUGUCAUUAAUUUGAUGUUGCAGGGAAUCAGGACUGUUACUUUGAAAAAAUUAGAGUGUUUAAAGCGGGCAUUUGCUUGAAUACAUUAGCAUGGAAUAAUGAAAUAGGACGGACGGUUCUAUUUUGUUGGUUAUGGGACCACCGUA
rnacentral:rRNA from 1 species